UAUAAUAUCCGCUUGCCGAAGACAGUAGGUGCAUUUAUGCGUAAAGUUUAUCUGCCUACCGAGGAAAUGGAACUUAUUAUUAAAGUUUUAUGCCUCUCUGUCUUUCGCAGAGAGGCUUUUUUAUCUC
rnacentral:sRNA from 1 species